CCAGCUCCAAUAGCGUAUACUAAAGUUGUUGCAGUUAAAAAGCUCGUAGUUGAAUAUCUGGUUGUGAAGUGCGGUCUGCCUCAAGGGGCAAGUACCAGCAAUUCGUAGCCAUCUUCGGAGAAUGCGUGUCUGUCAUUCAGUUGAUGGGCACGAGGACUCUGUCAUUUACUGUGAGCAAAAUAGAGUGUUCAAAGCAGGCAUUAUGCCAUUGAAUACAUUAGCAUGGAAUAAUAAGAUAAGACCUUGGUCUAUUUUGUUGGUUUGACUCCAAGGUAAUGAUUAAUAGGGACAGUUGGGGGUAUUCGUAUUCAAUUGUCAGAGGUGAAAUUCUUGGAUUUCUGGAAGACGAACUACUGCGAAAGCAUUUACCAUGGAUGUUUUCA
rnacentral:rRNA from 1 species